CACACACACACACACACACACACACACGCAGUCACAGGAGGAACUUGCAAACUCCGUAUCGGCCGGCACGAGAAUCCAGCCCGGAUCACUGCUGAUGCUGUAACUACAUGCGGAGAGCAGAUAAUGACGCAGGAACUUAAGAGGAACUUAUUUCUAAUUUACAAAAUUUAAUGAGCAAAAACCUCACGAGCUUGAAAUAAUACGAGGAUUCGCUUUUGGCUGUAGGCAAACCCUUUUCAGGACCAAUCUACGUCUGAUACCUAACUAUAUCGCUCUCCUACGCUUAAAUCUGAGAGUAACUAAUCUUAAAUCUGAUGUCUGUGUAUGGUUUUGUGAUAAUGCUAUAUUAACGUUUUUUGAGGACGAGAAGAGUAUAGCAGGAUUCUACUUUUAAUGUUGCUUCAGUGGAUAAUAAUAUUUUCACGUCUUUUUAAACCUUAUUUUAAAACGCUUAUUUAAAUAAUGGUUUCAUUUCAGGACUGAAAACGUGUUCAUUAAACGUGAUCAAUCAGUUAUUCUCAUAACUCAUAACUCAUAACUACAUCACUCAUAAACGCCAUUUCACUUUUAUUGCUUUUUCUUUUUAUACUACUACUACUACUACUACUACUAAUAAUAAUAAUAAUAACAAUAAACCAAAGACAUAUACGAAAUUGACAAAGAAUCCACAAACUAAAUACAGAACCAACAAAACACAACAAAGAAUAUAAAAUAGUACAAGUACAAGACAAGAACACAGAAGUAACAAUGAUAACAAUAGUAGGUUAAUUGUUAUACUUUAUAUUUGUAUAUAUGGUAAAUUAUAAUUACGAAUGUAAACAUUUUAUGAACUUGUUUACAUGAACUCUCUAUGGCUUGCGUUGGCGACGCAGCGGGUAUGUAUUCGUGUCUAAAGUCUACAUGUUUUUGCAUUCGCAUUUACUGAAGGGUGGGCGUGUCGUUUAGAGGAAAAAAGACAAGGCAGAAAAAAAUACAUUCAUGGAUUACAGCCUCUCCUGAAAAGAAACAAGCUUAUGGUGCCACCUAAUGCGCAAACACAAAAUAGCAACUAAGAUAGCAACCUUAAUGGUGCCUUGUGCUUUAUAAGGAAUUUCCUCGCACUAAAUUAUCAAUUUAGUGAAACACUGAGAUCGAGUCUUUAGUAACUUUGCCCUAAAAGUAAACUUACUUCAACUACAACAUUAAACUUUAGGAUACGUUCAACUUGCCUGUUGACAUAUUUUAAGAUUUACGUUUAAAUAGCCUAUUGUGGGUUUGUGCAAAACGUAGUUUGAGCACCUUAGUGCGGAUUUAAGAGUUUACGCAACACCAAACUAAGUUUCUGAGACAUUGCUUGUAUAUGUGAUACAAUACAGAGAAAAAAUCUGCGUCAUGGACCUAUGGACACUGACCUUCGACGCAUGUCUAGACCACUGGCCGCACUACAGGAUUAAUGCAGAUAAGAUUUUAUGAAUGGAUAAUAAAAUUACGUUCCUUUUCUCAA